AGCGAACGUUAGCGGCGGGCCUAACACAUGCAAGUCGAACGCGAAAGGUCUUCGGACUGAUUAGAGUGGCGCACGGGUGAGUAACACGUAGGUAAUCUACCCUUUGGCGGGGGAUAACGUUCCGAAAGGAGCGCUAAUACCGCAUAAGACCACGGAGUCUUCCGGACGCUGUGGGAAAAGGUGGCCUCUUCUUGAAAGCUAUCACCGGAGGAUGAGCCUGCGUCCCAUCAGCUAGUUGGUAAGGUAAUGGCUUACCAAGGCAAAGACGGGUAGCUGGUUUGAGAGAAUGAUCAGCCACACUGGCACUGGAACACGGGCCAAACUCCUACGGGAGGCAGCAGUGAGGAAUAUUGGGCAAUGGGCGAAAGCCUGACCCAGCCACGCCGCGUGAGUGAUGAAGGCCCUCGGGUCGU
rnacentral:rRNA from 1 species